rnacentral:lncRNA from 1 species
AGCCGAGGUACAUUUUCUUUCUGUUUGCUAAAAUGAUCUUGGCGGUGUUCACACUCGAAAGAAGGAAAAACUAUCAAAUUAAAUUAUCGGGACAUGAUCUAAUAUAAAUAGAUAUAUUCAUAUAAACAUAUAUGUAUAUUCAUAUCUACCUGCUAGCACGCUUGGGGGAAGCACCAGCGCCGCACUCGGCUGCUGCGCCGCAGGCCCACCACCAUCUCUUCCGUGUGUGAACAACCUCUACCGCACUAUAUGGCCACGACGCUAGAAUUUAGCAAUGGUCCGUUAUAGCCGCUCCCAUAGUCCCAUUCAAACAGUCGGCACCUGCUCUCUGUCCCUCAACCUUGCAGCAACCACCCCUUGCAUCACGCAGUCGCCCCGGCGCCGCGCCCGCCGUCGAGCAGAGGUCCCAUGCAGAGCUCGUCGUCGCAUCAUUUGUCACCGUGGAGAAAGGACCGAUGUCCUAGCUAGAGGUCUCGCCGCACUCGUCGCUAUGUCGAGGGGGCCCUGCCACGCACGAAGUUGUUUCUUCCGGCGAGCCCUUCCCGUUCCCCGGUGAGCCAUUUUUCUUUAUUUUGUUUCUGCGCUAGCUGUUAUCAUUUCUAUCCUUCGCCGGCCAACUGCACCUCCGCUGCCGACAUCGAACCGUGAAACGCCCAGCCCUUGGAUGCAUGGCCGACCAGCCAUGGCUGGUCGCGGCCAAAGGCCGAUUGAGCGGUGGCCGAGUGCUCGCCCACCCCUGCCCGCUGUCAAGCCGGUCUCCGGUGAAGCCGCCAUGCGGGUCAGCGUGCCCCUGCAUGAGCUCGUGUGGCAGAAAUGGACGGCUCUGGCGCUCUGCCCUGCUUGUGUGCCUGGCUUGCUACGUGAGCGUGAGGAAGAAGAAACCGCCGUUGCGAGUGUGUUUAGGAAAAAAAAGAAAUUGUUUCCCCAUGGAACCCACCCAUGCACGCAUGACUCCCAUGCAUGUCGGCAUGCAUCACGUGAGUGGUGGAAAAAACUAGUCUCCAGGCCACAUGGCGCCCUACGGUUGGUCAAUAUAGAUGUUUCACGUUGUAGCGUCCGCUCCAAAUCCCACGGAUCCUCGGCACCCAUGCUCAUAUGGUCCUCUGUGUGGCCAUAUUUUGACCAAUUAGAUUACGCCACAUUCUAUUAAAUCUGCGAGAUAUAAAAUAUUCAAAAUAUUUUAAGUCUCAAAUCUGUUUCGACUUAUUUCGUAACCUCGUUGUUUACGUAUUAGUAACACUAUUUCAUUGUGAUACAUAUUUUAGUUAAUUAAUUGAUUAUUUAUUUUUCAGAUAGUUAGUAAAGUAGCAAUCUACUUGAACCAAUUUACAAUUUUAGUUGCACUUUAUAAAUACAUGUUAAUAUGAUUAUCUCUACUCGAAUGUUUUUAAUUAAUAAUUGUUUAUUAUAAUGGCGAUAUUGGUUAGUGUUCCUGGCGUGCCGUUCGCGUGCUGUCCGCGUGCGCCGUCGUUCGCACGCGUUGUCGCGCGCGUGGUUUCGCGUGUUGGUCGCGCCCUAUUUCGCGUGUUGGUCGCACGUCUUCACGCGUCAUUCGCACGCAUUGCCUUUUUGCGUAUCGGGUGCUGUCCACGCGCGAUAUUAAAUCGGUCGCUUAUAAUCACUCAUGUCAUUUAAUUAAAUAUUUGUUUAAUCCUCCACUAUUAAAAUAGUAAGUUAGUCAAAACUAAAUAGUAGAUAUAAUUUAUAUUUGAUAGUGUCGAAUUAAAUGUCCUAGUUCAUAUUCGUUUAGCAUAAACGCGAUAACUUAUGGACCGUAGCUCCGACCGACGUGUUUCAUAUUCUCGCGUAACCGUAGAAGCGCUCUCUAUUUUAUAUUGCUCGCUUUUAUAACAUUUUAUCUUGUAUGGUGUAAUGUUCUUAUGCAUAUGUAUAUGUUUGUUUGCUUGUGCCUGUUCGUCUUCGCUUCGUGUUGCGAUUAGAUCGCGAUUCGUUUCUGAGCUUUGAGGAAUCGACGGUCAAGCUUCGGCGACCAAAUGACCCAGCUCUUCGAGUUCUACAAGGCUGAAGAUUCUGAGCAUCUGUUUGGUGAAGGCAAGUGUCCUUUGACCUAUUAUGUCCCAUUUACUUUAUAAUUCAUCAACCCGCAUACCAUGAUCAACCUAAGGAUUGACUAGCUUUGUAUUUACCUUGUCUUUGCUUACCUUUUGGGUUAUUAUGGUUAGCAUUUUGCUAUUGCCUUAACUUAAUCAAUGAACAUGAUGUGACUAUUUAUGAUACGAUACUAUUAUCCUGAUUAUACUGUUGAUCUUGUGAUACUCUAGGGGGCUCAGGCUGUUUCCUGAGUACCUCUCCGUAAGGACCUGUUCGUUGAGAGACCACCCGGGAUAACAGUGCAACCAUGAGGGUGGAAUGGGGUGCCCUUAGCUAAUUAAUUAGAGGAACUAGAAGUGUAGUUGCUUCGCCGUCGUGCCGUCAAUGGGGUCCAGGCACAGUGCUUGCUCUGCCGAGGCUGAGUGCCGAGGUUCUUUCGUUUUGUUUUUUAGUCACCCUCCUGCGGGGAGAGGUACUGUGUUUAUCAAACUGGAGAAACCUAACGGGCAGCUAUGACCUCUAGGGAAUCUUUGUAAAGGCUUCGUAGUGAAUCCCUGGCCAUUCACCUUGGGAGUGAAUAAGGGUCUUGCAAGCCCGGGCUAGAGAGGGAAUCACGGCUCAUGGGUAAAGUGUGCGACCUCUACAGAGGGUAGUGAAACUGAUAUAUCAGCCGUGCUCACGGUUAAGAGCAGCCUUGGGAUCCUCUUUGAUUAGAGAUACUCCGGAUACACCUUGGAUGAUGACUUUAAUGAUGAUGGUUAAUGAUGGUGACUUUAAUUAUGAAUUCUAGUAUUCCCUCUCUCAGGAGGUACUUUUGGGAUUAUAACUUGGGUUUUAUGAUAAAAUCUGGCUUCUACUAACAAUAAAUACCUGACCAACUAAAAGCAACUGCUUGAGCCUAACCCCACAUAAAGCUAGUCCACUACAACCAAACGGGACAUUUGCUGAGUACGUUGAUGUGUACUCACCCUUGCUUUCACAAAACACCAGGUUGCCUUUGGUGCAAUCUAUGCUCAGGUAAAGAAGGAGGUGUCGAGGCGGAUCUCCAGGAGUUCCAGGAUUUCGACGAGUUCGAGGAUUAGGCUAGCGACCUCCCCCAGUCAGCUGCCUGUGGUGGGUUGUUUACGUUGGCUACAUUUCUACUAUGUGUACUUUGAUUUAUAUUAUGUAAAUGGCUCUGGUCUGUAAUAUUAUUACUAACUCUUUAUUGUUAUUCGAAGCAUCGUGCUAUGAUGAGUCAUUUAUGUAAUCGCUAUGUACGUGAAUUUCUGAUCCUGGCACGUACAUGGUUCGCAUUCGGUUUACCUUCAAAACCGGGUGUGACAUAAGUGGUAUCAAAGCCGUGCUGACUGUAGGACCGCUAGCCUAGAGUAGCAUUGGCCGUUUUAAGGACUUAUUGACUAUUACUUCACCCCAUCCUUGAUUCUGCUUUAAAAUACUAGUCACCUCACCUAAUUCUAUGUUGUGCUCCUAUAUGCCUCCUUGCCAAAAGUAUUUUAUUCUAGUAUGAUUUAUGCUUCUCUCAAUCUAUUAGAUCUGAUCUCACUCUUGUGCUUGCGACAUCUUUGUAGAUGCCCCCUAACCAUAACCUUCUUGUCUCUUGGUCUUUUUUUCUCUUUCGUCAUUAAAUUUCUACCAUUUGGCAAUCUCUAUUCCCCUGGUAUUGACAUGCUCGUAUCCCUGGAUUCUUUAAUACCCUUGUUUCAAUACCUACCUCUAAUAAAAACUCUGCUGCCUAUUUAAACAUUUCAGUUUAUAUGUCCAUGAUCUUACUGUCUUUUGAGACUCUUUCCUAUUCUAUUGUUAAGUCAUUAUCUUUUUGGCUAUUUGUAUUCUCUUGGUCAUAGUAUGUUCGUACCAUUGGAAUCUUGCAUACUCUCAUUUUUAUAUAUGCUUACCUUUAUAUCUCAAUAUUUGUUUAAGACAUUUCAGUUAACGUCCCCUUGACCACUCUUGUUUCUUAAUGAUCCAUGAGCGGUCAUUUUUUUUGCACACCCGUGGUUGUCUCGUUAAUUCCUUGUAAAUUCCUUCGAUAAUGAAUUUUUACUUCAAAUCUUAUGUCAGAACCUCACUUAUCCUUGAUUGUUUUCCCCACUUCGUUACUUUGCAAGUCUUGCCUUAACUCUGUCCAUGAAUUAUGCUUUUCAUCAUUCUCAUCUUUUCCCUUAUCGCCUUUAUAUCUUACCUUGAUGUUUAUCACCUUUUCCUCUUCCUCGUUGCUUGCGAGUUCUCAACUCCAUACUUCGUUGCGCUUUCGUUUGUUGUCGCCUUUACCUUUCCCAUUUCUCAACCACACCUUAUCGAUUACAUUAUAUCUGUUAUCUAAAAUCUCCAAUCUUCUAUCCCAACUUGUGAGCGGUACUUUACUUACCUCACCCUUGGCUAUAUCCUCUUCUUUACCGCGUAUAAGCUCGGACGCAACUCUAUUAUUUGUUGUACUCAUACCACUGGCUCUCCCAUGCCUUCAUCUUUUCUCUCAUACCCUUGUCUGUUAUCACCUUUGACCCUUGCGAUAUUGAGGUAUUCUACCUAAAUGCUUACCUUGAACUUAUCCUUUAAAAGCCUCCCCUUUCUUUCAACCUAGUUUGAGAGCUAUGAGUUACUUAUCUCUCCCAUGAUUUCUUUUCACUCCUUGUCGCCUUACAAGUUUUGUCUUAAUUCCAUCCUUUGCUGUGUUUUUUAUUUGCUAUCACCAUUACCUUUUCAUCCAUCAAUCUUGCGUCGAUACUCAUCUUUAUUAUGACUAUUAAAAAUCUCCUCUCUUCCACCUCAAUUUGAGAGUGGCAAUUUACCUAUUUGGCCCUUGGACGUAUCCUCUUCUUUUCCACUUGUAGGUAUUGUCUUAACUCCAUCCUUUAUGUUACUUAUAUCUUUUGUUCUUAUGUCCAUUUACCUCCUCUCUUACAUUAUUGUCUGUUAUCACCUUUAACCCUUGUAAUAUCUAUACCCUUACAUUCAUGCUUACUUUGAACCUACCCUUCAAAACCUCCUCCUUUCGAUCUCUGCUCAAGGAUAAUGCCUCAUCUACUUCACCAUUAAUUGCUUCCCCUCCUUUGACGCCUUGCACGUUUUGUCUAAAAUACAUCCUUUUUUGUUUAUUUGCCCGUUAUCACCCUCACCCUUGUCAUCCCUUGAUCUUUACCUUGAUGCUUAUCCCGUACCUGUAUUUUAAAGCCUCCUCCCUCAUUUUAGUUCAAGAGUGUUGUCUUACCCAUCCCACUCUUGGUCGUUCCCUUUUCCUCUGCCACAUUGCCAGUCGUAGCUUUUGUUUGAUAGUCCCCUUACCUUUGUAAUCACUAGAUCUUGCCUUGAUGCUUAUCUUAGGUCUGCCUUUUGAAAUCCACUCUUUUAUAUCUUGACUCGAGAGUGGUGUUCUACCCAUUAUGCCCUUGGUCGUAUCAUUUUCUUGGCCGCUUAACUCCAUCCUUUGUUGUGCUCGUGCCCCUAUCAUGCACGUCUUGUUUCUCUCCUCGUCCUUCGACAGCCUUAGAGAGUAGGUAUUCCCUUUUCAAGAAAGACCACCAUCUAGUUAACAUUAACGUGUAGCAACGAGAUGUUUGUUGUUGUAUGCUUGUGCUGUUUGUCUUUGUGUGAUGACUGAUUUGCUUCUCUGUGAUGAGUGUUGAUGUGUUGUGGUCCUUGGUCCGCAAUGACAUCAGUUUACUAGCUGAGUGCCAUAGAGUUAGGUAUCUGGGUGCUCUCCCUUUUCUCUUUUUAAUUCAUCUAUGUGUACCUUUCCUAUCUAUACCCUUCCCUCUUGCACCUGUCCGGUUGGCAACCUCCAACCAACCUCUCUUAAUCGGUCAAGAUCAAAAUCGAUAACAUCUUCACCAAGUGCAUAUCAACGCUCCUGUUAAGGGGGUUAACCGCUAACCCCAAUGAAGACAAUGCGAAUAGCAUCAACCAACACGAUUAAAGUGGCGCACCGAAAGCGUGUGUGGGUCCUAACCCAUAGGUCCAAGAGAUCCUCAAGAGUUGCAUCAGUUGAUCGUGAACAUCUGAAGGUCAAAGUAUCAUGUCUGCAAGUUAAGCUGGUAGUGUUAAAAUUGAAUCGAAGUGAACCAACCUUGUUUUUCUUUCUAGCUUCUUCUUGAAUCUCGAGGGCGAGAUUCUGUUAAGGGGGUUAGAUUUGUAACACCCUGAUUUUGAGGGUAUAAAAUUUUCUUUUAUCUACUCUCAAAAUUCAGGUGUUACCUUUUCUUUUCCUUUCUUUUCCUCUUUUGUUUGUUAUUAAAUGGGGAGUUAACAUGGAAUUUAUAGAUGCUAUUUUAAAUAAAUAUGUGUAUUAUAUUUUAAGCCGAGGUACAUUUUCUUUCUGUUUGCUAAAAUGAUCUUGGCGGUGUUCACACUCGAAAGAAGGAAAAACUAUCAAAUUAAAUUAUCGGGACAUGAUCUAAUAUAAAUAGAUAUAUUCAUAUAAACAUAUAUGUAUAUUCAUAUCUACCUGCUAGCACGCUUGGGGGAAGCACCAGCGCCGCACUCGGCUGCUGCGCCGCAGGCCCACCACCAUCUCUUCCGUGUGUGAACAACCUCUACCGCACUAUAUGGCCACGACGCUAGAAUCUAGCAAUGGUCCGUUAUAGCCGCUCCCAUAGUCCCAUUCAAACAGUCGGUACCUGCUCUCUGUCCCUCAACCUUGCAGCAACCACCCCUUGCAUCACGCAGUCGCCCCGGCGCCGCGCCCGCCGUCGAGCAGAGGUCCCAUGCAGAGCUCGUCGUCGCAUCAUUUGUCACCAUGGAGAAAGGACCGAUGUCCUAGCUAGAGGUCUCGCCGCACUCGUCGCUGUGUCGAGGGGGCCCUGCCACGCACGAAGUUGUUUCUUCCG